rnacentral:rRNA from 1 species
AUCGAACGCUGGCGGCAGGCCUAACACAUGCAAGUCGCGCGGAGCGGCGGACGGGUGAGUAAUGACUAGGAAUCUGCCUGGUAGUGGGGGAUAACGUCCGGAAACGGGCGCCAAUACCGAAUACCAUCAGAUGAGCCUAGGUCGGAUUAGCGAGUUGGUGGGGUAAAGGCCUACCAAGGCGCCGAUCCGUAACUGGUCCGAGAGGAUGAUCAGUCACACUGGAACUUGGACACGGGCCAGACUCCUACGUUGGGCAGCAGUGGGGAAUAUGUGACAAGGGGCGGAAGCCUUAUCCAGCCAUGCCGCGUGUGUGGAGAAGGUCGUCGGAUUGUAAAGCACUUUAAGUUGGGAGGCGUUACCAACAGAAUACGCACCGGCGAACUUCGUGCCAGCAGCCGCGGUAAUAC